CAAUUUAUCGAGUUUGUUGAUCCUUGAGGUCAAGGAUCGAUUCAAGGGAGGGUGUAUGUUACAUGCUUCUUGAACGGUAGUUUUACGAGAAGGUUUGAAGAGUACGGGGUGUUGGGCUAAAGUUUCUUGGGCCUGGAAGAUAUAAGUUGACAGUAGUAUUUUAUUGGGCUUUUAUUUAGGUGUCUCGAUUUCAUUGUUAGAUUAGCAAGUCUUGUUAGUCAAAGUUUCAUUGUUGGGUAGUAAGUUUUGGAGUCAAAGAGUAGUAUUUUAGUCUCGAUUUGUACCUUCAGAGUCAUUAAGCAAAUAAUAGUCAAG
rnacentral:lncRNA from 1 species